UCUUCACACACUUGGAGAUCUCUGUGGCAAAUGACUUAAUAGUAUUCAUGAUUGGAAGCAUGGGGUUCUGCUCCAUUAAGUAUCCUCCCUUUCCACAAUGCUGAAGAAACAGCUGGGCCUUGUGUCUGUACCUGCAUAUUUCUACAACUUCUCAGGGUUCUUUUGGCAAUGACUGAGAGAUAAACCAUGUAGAAAACAAUG
rnacentral:snoRNA from 1 species